GCAAGUCGAACGGGCUCAUAUUGAAACCUAGUGAUUUAUGAGAUAGUGGCGGACGGGUGAGUAACGCGUGGAAAACCUGCCGUAUACUGGGGGAUAACACUUAGAAAUAGGUGCUAAUACCGCAUAAGCGCACAGCUUCGCAUGAAGUGGUGUGAAAAACUCCGGUGGUAUACGAUGGAUCCGCGUCUGAUUAGCUAGUUGGCGGGGUAGAGGCCCACCAAGGCAACGAUCAGUAGCCGGCCUGAGAGGGUGACC
rnacentral:rRNA from 1 species